rnacentral:rRNA from 1 species
UACAGAGGAUGCAAGCGUUAUCCGGAAUGAUUGGGGGUAAAGCGUCUGUAGGUGGCUUUUUAAGUCCGCCGUCAAAUCCCAGGGCUCAACUCUGGACAGGCGGUGGAAACUACUAAGCUGGAGUAUGGUAGGGGCAGAGGGAAUUUCCGGUGGAGUGGUGAAAUGCGUAGAGAUCGGAAAGAACACCAACGGCGAAAGCACUCUGCUGGGCCGACACUGACACUGAGAGACGAAAGCUAGGAGAGCGAAUGGG